rnacentral:rRNA from 1 species
UACGUAGGGGGCGAGCGUUGUCCGGAAUUAUUGGGCGUAAAGGGUUCGCAGGCGGUCCUUUAAGUCAGAUGUGAAAGACAUAGGCUCAACCUAUGUAAGCAUUUGAAACUGAAGGACUUGAGUUAAGGAGAGGAAAGUGGAAUUCCUAGUGUAGCGGUGAAAUGCGUAGAUAUUAGGAGGAAUACCAGUGGCGAAGGCGACUUUCUGGACUUAUACUGACGCUGAGGAACGAAAGCGUGGGGAGCAAACAGG